rnacentral:lncRNA from 10 species
AAACAGUGAGAUAAAAUGACUAGAGGGCAAGUGUGCAGGUGGUCUCCAAGACUGCUCCAGGCUCACUUGUUUGCUAGGAAGACUUCACACAGAGUUAGUUGCAUUCAUGGCUAAGACAUAGUACAGCAAAAAGGAAAUAAAACAAAAUCAGCAAGGGAAAGGCCCAGGAUGCUAACCCUGGAGGAAUCAGGCUCAAGCUUCCAAGAGUCAUUCGGUGAAGCUGCACAGGACGC